rnacentral:ncRNA from 1 species
CCAGCUGAAUUUAAGCACAGUACUAGGCGGAGGAAAAGAAACUAACAAGGAUUCCCCCAAGCGGCGAGCGAACAGGGAGGAGCCCAGCACCGAAUCCCGCGCGGAGACGUCGUGUGAGUGAGGUCCCACUCUCCCGGGGCGCGGUCUCCCUUGAACGGGGCCAUCGCCCGCAGAGGAUGCCAGGACCGCGGCCGCUCCGGGGUGGGGACUCACCUCAGAGUCGUAUUCCUUGAUUGUGGAGCACUAAGAGGGCGGUAAACUCCAUCUAAGGCUAAAUAUGACCACGAGAUCGAUAGCGAACAAGUACCGUGAGGGAAAGUUGGAAAGAACUUUGAAGAGAGAGUACGUGGACCGUGGCGGCUGAGGAGCCAGCGGGUGUCCGGUGGGUGCUACGGGCCGAGGGCUCUGUGUCACGUGUAGAGACAGACCUAGAAUCUGAAUUAGGAUAGUUGCCUGUGUGUGUAGACUCUGUAAACUGAUCUAUUCGUCGCUCGACCUCCGGGCAUGGCCUUCUGCAGAGAGCGUCGGCGUCACAAUACGUAUCAAAAUCUCAAGAUGGCCGAGUACUGCAGCCAACACUUGAAAC